rnacentral:rRNA from 1 species
GAUGAACGCUGGCGGCGUGCCUAAUACAUGCAAGUCGAGCGAACGGACGAGAAGCUUGCUUCUCUGAUGUUAGCGGCGGACGGGUGAGUAACACGUGGAUAACCUACCUAUAAGACUGGGAUAACUUCGGGAAACCGGAGCUAAUACCGGAUAAUAUUUUGACCGCAUGGUUCAAAAGUGAAAGACGGUCUUGCUGUCACUUAUAGAUGGAUCCGCGCUGCAUUAGCUAGUUGGUAAGGUAACGGCUUACCAAGGCAACGAUGCAUAGCCGACCUGAGAGGGUGAUCGGCCACACUGGAACUGAGACACGGUCCAGACUCCUACGGGAGGCAGCAGUAGGGAAUCUUCCGCAAUGGGCGAAAGCCUGACGGAGCAACGCCGCGUGAGUGAUGAAGGUCUUCGGAUCGUAAAACUCUGUUAUUAGGGAAGAACAUAUGUGUAAGUAACUGUGCACAUCUUGACGGUACCUAAUCAGAAAGCCACGGCUAACUACGUG